rnacentral:rRNA from 28 species
GUGAACUGCGGAAGGAUCAUUG